GCUUCUCCAAACCCCUUACUUAAGCUUUCCAGAUUUAGGAUUCUACAAUCUACAGAUGGAUGUUGAUACGAUCCCUUAGCUGUCAGUGGAUCUCAAGCGACGAGGUUGAGUCUGAGGUCUAUUGAAUGAUGAAACUUGUCAGAUUGGCCAAGAAAAUAAAAAGGUUGGGGUGUCGAUGACUCGUAGGAUAGAAGGUCCCAAUUUCAAAGGUAGGUGUGCUGAUUGGUAAAGUCGCGGAGAAUAUACGGACUCAAAAUCCAAAUCUUUUAAGGAUUCUGAAGCUGAUCCCAUUCCCACCUCUGCUUUUAGACCAGUCGACAUAAUUGGAAACGUUGCGUGCAUUGAAAAAGCUUAUUAAUGCAGAGCUUAAAACUUGUCUUGACUUCACUGUAAGCAAUUUGGUUACACAAUAAUUUCUUCUGCUACUACAUCAGUCUGAAGUAGGAGGUUCGCCUGCCCUUGUUGCCAGGGGACAUCAUGCCACUCCUCCUCCGACAGGGGUUUCAGAACAAAAUAAAGAUUAGAGAUCCUUAGGAUAAUAAGCUAAUGCCUUUUGUAUUAUUCUCUAUAGCAUCAGUUUAAUCAUGUCUAAGCCAGUUUCAUUUGACAGGUUGGUCUGAUCAUUGGCCGAGGUGGGAACUCGAUCAAGAAAAUGCAGGCAAGAUCAGAUGCACGCAUUCAGUUGAUACCACAACAUGCAUAAGGUGAGGAAUUUAAGGAGAGAACUAUUCGCAUAAAAGACAAAUUGACAUAGCAAGGGACUGAUAAAUGAUAUGUCAUGUACCAGUUAUUGAAGGUGCCGGUCUCGGGAUGGUGUUAAAAAUGCAGAUUUCGCUAUUACCAUUUACACGGGGUUAGCAUUGCCUCAUUGAGACUGAUGUUUACAGAAGAAGAAGGUAUCUGGCCUUGUAACAGGCUUGCCGGUUAUAGUAGAGUCGAAUGCAAGGCAGUCACCCUAUUCCGGUGGUUGCCCUGAGGGCCAGUUGGUCCACCUCAAUGGGUUCACGAGGUCCUCAUCCUCCCUACUCAAGGCCCUUUGAUUACCAUUACCAUGGACCGUAUUCAUCUCAAGGUCAGCAUAUACCGCCUAGAGGUCGAUAUGGUGCUGGUUGGGACCACAUACCUCCGCAUUCUGGUCCGUACAGUUAUUACGGUAAACAAGGAGCUCAAACUUUUGGUCCACUUCCACAUCCUUCUGGCUAUGCACCUUCCCCUGUCUUGGGUGGUCCCCCUUCUUCCCAAGUAAGUUAUGAUUACGGUCAGAGUCAUGGUCCAGAGUAUGGAAAUGCUGCUCCAUACUCUCAGACCGGUCAUCAGCAGGCUUAUAUGCAGAUGUAUGAACAGCUCAAGUAUGACAGUAAUCCUCCUCCGGUGCAGCCACCUUUUGGAGGUUCGUACCCACCAGUAGGUGGUGGUCAGCCAAAGCUAUUCCCAAGUGCAGCAACCUAGGCCUCACGGGACGCAACAAGGUCCUGUCCAGCAUGGGUACUUCGCAAGAUAAAUAACAAUUUGAUGCUUUAUGUAUUUUUCUCAUGAUUUCUCAUAAAAAAACAAACGGUUAUAUAUCUACAGUAAAGCAAAAAAAAUGUUGUCUUGGAAGUUAAACAGCACAAUGGCAUCAGCCUAGAACAAGCCAUGUUUCAGGAUCAAUCACCAUAUUCCUGGAAGUUUUUUUUUUCUC